rnacentral:rRNA from 1 species
GAGGAUACACCUGUUCCCAUUCCGAACACAGAAGUUAAGCUCUUUAGCGCUGAUGGUACUUGGUGGGAAACUGCCUGGGAGAGUAGGACGUAGCCACGUG